GCCAGCAUAGUGUAGUGGUUUGAACAUUAGAUUAUGACUCUGGAGACCAGGGUUCAAUUCCCAGUUCAGCCA
rnacentral:tRNA from 1 species